rnacentral:lncRNA from 1 species
CCCUUUCAAUUUAAAAUACAACAUUGGAAGAAUUAUUAUCUUUAACAGGGGAGUUGAUGAUUUAAAACUUAGUAGAAAUUUUAUUUUAUGAAAAAUACAACCUCAGACGAUUUAAGGGGAUAUAAUUGAGAAACUAAUUGAAUUAAGGAUGUAACAAUUAUUGAAGUUUGAGGUAUUGGAAACAUUGUGAGUUCUAACGCAAAGGAUCACAACAAUAAAGGAAUCAAACAGUUUAAACAUUUGAAUUGAUAACAACAAAUAAACACAACAGCAGAAAGUGCACGGCAUCACCCUUCGUGCUUUUACUCUCGUUCUCACCAUAAGAAUCAAUAUUCACUUUUAUUCUUUCUUGUUGCGGCGUGCAACCCGAUCCCAAUCAUAUAUCACUGACGCGGCUUGCAACCCGAUCCAAAACAUAUAAUAUUGUUGCAGCGUGCAAACCGAUCCAAAUCGUAUAAUAAUAUUGCGGUGUGCAACCCGAUCCAUAUAAUAUUAUUGCAGUGUGCAACUCGAUCCAUAUAAUAUUGUUGCAGUGUGCAACCCGAUCCAUACAAUAUUGUUGCGGCGUGCAACCCGAUACAUAUAAUAUUGUUGCGGCAUGCAACCCGAUACCAAUAUACAAAUCAACUCCAAUCACGAAAGAAUCCCGGCAAGGGAGUCAACAACAAGAAUAAACACGUCCCGGCAAGGAAACCAACAGUAAGAAUUAAAUAUGUCCCGGCAAGGGAAUCAGCUAUAACCAAACUUGUACCAACAAUUUACUUCACAAUGAAACCUCAACUACACAACAAGACAUAAUAAGCACGUGAUAACUAUAUCGGCAACCACAACAAUUGGACAUGUAACCUAUUUGCACGAAGUCAUAGAGGAACUCACAAGCAAGAAGUAUCAAAACAACAAGGAAGACAAUCACUUCAAUUAAGGCAAUUUAGGGUCAAUGUAACACGUAAGAAUUAGAGGAAAGCUAACAACGUUAUGGAGCAUAUAGAGGCAAUUUAAGCAACUAGGAAACCCAAUCAUAACAGGAUACUUUCCACAUAAGGACCUAAAAACCCUAGAGGCAAAUUUCUCACAAAUAAGUCCGAGCACACACUCGUCACCUCGCAUGCAUGGACCAUAAUUAGCAUAGAAGACUUAAUUCCUAAGGGGAAGUCCCCCACACAAGGUUAGGCAAGAUGCUUACAUUGCUUUGCAACGAAUUCAAGAUUCCAACAAGCUUUUGUCUCGUGAAUUCGUACCCGAAUUUCUCAAAUCUAGUCAUAAACAAUUCAAAAUACUCAACACGAAUCGUAGGAACUAAUUCCAUAUGAAUUUACACAUUUUCCAAACUAAAAUCCGAAAUUUAGCUCAAAAUUGCCCGUGGGGCCCAUGUAUCGAAAUCCGAGAAACUCAUAAAAUCUGACAACCCAUUCCGAUACGAGUUCAACUAUACAAAAAUUAUCGAAUUCCGAUGUCAAAUGGACCUUCAAAUCCUAAAUUUUCAAUUUUGGAAAGUUUUACAAAAACUACAAUUUCUUUCAUCCAAAUCCAAAAUAAACGAUGAAUAUUGAUAUAGAUUUAUGAAAUGUACCCACUUCUGAAUAUAGAACACUUACCCAAGUCGAAAUCGUGAAAAACCUCUUUGAAAUCGCCCAAAUCCGAGCUUGAAUAACCAAAAAUGGAAGAAAUUUCGGACCCCUUCGGUUUUUACACUGCCCAAGGGUAUUAUAGGGAUUUUACAUACCUUGCCGCGCUCCCGCCGUGCUCACAGGAAGAAAACUUUCGAAUCGGCACGGUCGUGGCGUGGCCGCGCACCUGGGCGGUAAAAUGGUCAUAACUUUUUGUAUACACCUCCAAAUGACGAACGGUUUGAUGCAUUGGAACUAGACUCAAAGAGAUUUAAUUUGAUAGGUUGUUCAUUACACAACUUCUUAUAUACAUGUAGAUAUUCUCAUACAAAGUGAGGUCUUGUGCGUACUCAUUUGCAACUUUAGUAUAUUACGAAAUUUUCCAACUUGGCUUAGACUUAGGACUUUCCUUAGACCCCAUAUAUCUUAUAGUAUGCCUCGUACACUUGAUAUCAUAUCCCAUUGGUAUUCAUCAUGGUAAUAGACCUCUUACACAUAUAAAAAAAUAUAAUUAGAACACGUCAACUUUCUUAUUUCGUCAAAAUGCACUGAAUUAUCCUAUGGACUUCCAUAUCCAAAUUCUGACAUGCGUCUAAGUCCGAAAUCACCAUACGAAGCUAUUGACAUCACUAAAAUUCUAAUUUGGGGUUUUUUGCUCAAAAGUUAACUCUUCGGUCAACUCUUUCCAUUUGCUUCAAAAAUAAGAUUUUGAUUUUCUUUAAAUUUAACUCCGAAUCUUACGAAAAAUCAAACUUGACCAUACAUGCGGGUCAUAAUGCGUAUUACGAAGCUCCUCGAGGUCUUAAGCCAUUGAACGAGACGCUAAUUCUUAAAACGACAGGUCGGGUCGUUACAGAAGCCCACCAAAUAAAACUUUGCAUUGGCAUGAAUUGACAACAGUGCAUUCAUCGCUCCUAUGAGUCUUUUAGCACAUGAAAGACAAAAAAGGUAAAAUUUUCAAUUUCCAACUUGCAAAAUAUCUAAACAAAAUAUCUCAUCCUUCCAAACCACAAACCAUCAUUUAAAGACAGAAUUCUUAAAAUGGGUAGGAUCAAAUCAGCCCUAAAAUCAAAUGGUUUAUAAGAGUAAUCCAAAUUCACAAUUAUUCACAUGGGAUUUCAACAUUUAAGGCAAAGUCCCUAAUUGAAUGCUUGAAACUAAUCAAGGAUAUAGAGAACCAAAUACGCAAGGACAUGAAUAGGAUCAUCUUGUUCAUAAAUGCAACACUGUCUUAUUAUAUGUGAAAGUCAUCCUAGAAGUUAACCUACUAUUCUCAUAAGCCAUUACUAAGGUAUCAAUUAUAUGUCUACUCUAUGAUUUUGUCACACGUUUAGCAAAAAAACAGAAUCUUAUCUCGCCAUCUCUUAACUUUUACAUGGUAUCCAUUUCAUCACUUGCAGGAGUCUUACACCACUGGAGACUAUAUUAAUGCUAUUGUUAACAGACAGAAAGCUAAAACUAUAAGUAUUGUGUUGUACCAUUUAUUUUGUAAAUCUACCAUUAUACUAAAAGGAGAAUAUACGAAAAUCAGACAAAAUCUCCCUUUUCAAACACACAGCACAAUAUCCAAUCUUGAACUAAUAAUAUAUUAAUACUACCAAAAAUUCUUCCUGGCAAACUACCAGAUUCAAACUGGCACAAUUAGGAAAAGUGAAGACAUCAAAAUUGGUCGAAUUCUCAGAGGAAAACAAAAGGAAUUCAUAUUAACUUAAGUUUUUUGUUCAUACGAGCAGAAGUACAAAAAAUGAGGAAGGCAUGUGUACCUAAUGUUCGCAAAUGGAAUCCAAAUGACCAACUAAAGGCAAAUCCGUGAAAGAUGGAGCUAAGCUGAAGCAAAUAGCCUACGGACUCAGCAAAACAUCAGCGACAGAUCCAGUGACCAAACAAAGCUUCUUCAAACCAAAUGGCACUCGAAAUUCCAGAAAAAUUGAAGCAAAAGAGAAGAAAUUCGAACAGUGUUCAAACCCUUUAUUUUUCUAUUUUUUCGUUCAUUUUUCUUUUGAAUUUGACCAUUUAUCUUGUGUGUGUUUCUUUUUAAUUUGAUGGAAAGAGGAUGAUAAAGAUGGGGAGGGGAAGGCGUUGGCUUUUUCUUGCUAAAGAGGGAGGGUCUGUUUCUGGCUCUUUGUUGAAGAUGAGGAAAUGAAGAAUAAGAAAAGAAAAGGGAGUUGGGUUGCGCCGUUGGUCUGUUUUUUUAGAGAAGGGAGCUUCUGAUUGUUUUCGGUUUUUCUCUGAUUUUCGUUAGGUCUAGAACAUGGGGAGGG